GGUCGGGUAGAUCAGUUGGUUUAGAUCGUUGACCUAAUACCUUGUGGAACAGUCAAAGGCCGAGGGUUCAAGCCCCUCUCUGACCA
rnacentral:tRNA from 1 species